rnacentral:lncRNA from 1 species
GAUUCCUACCAGUAAAACGUAUGACAUGGCCAGGCAAGGUGGCUCAUGCCUGUAAUCCCAGCACUUUGGGAGGCUGAGGCAUGCAGAUUGCUCGAGCCCAGAAGUUGAAGACCAGCCUGGGCAACAUGGCAAAAUCCUGUCUCUACAAACAAAUAAAAAAAAUUAGGCCAGGCACGGUGGCUGACGCCUGUGAUCUCAGCACUUUGGAAGGCUGAGGCAGGCAGAUCACAAGGUCAGGAGUUGGAGACCAGCCUGGCCAACGUGGUGAAACCCCGUCUCUACUAAAAAUACAAAAAUUAGCCAGGUGUGGUGGUGCGUGCCUGUAAUCCCAGCUACUUGGGAGGCUGAGGCAGGAGAAUUGCUUGAAUCUGGGAGGUGGAGGUUGCAGUGAGCUGAGAUCGUGCCACUGCAUUCCAGCCUGGGUGACAGAGCAAGAUUCCAUCUCAGAGAAAAAAAAAAAAAAAUAGCUGGGCAUGGUGGCUCAAGCCUGUAGUCUUAGCUACUUGGGAAGCUGGGGCAGGAGGAUCAUUUGAACCCAGGGGGUCAAGGCUGCAGUUAACUGUGAUCACACCACUGCACUCCAGCCUGGGUGACAGAGCAAGACCCUGUCUCAAAGAAAAUAAAAAAUAAAAAAGGCUGGGUCUGGUAGCUCACGCCUGGUAGUCCCAGCUACUCGGGAGGCUGAGGCAUGAGAAUCGCUUGAACCUGGGAGGCAGAGGUUGCAGUGAGCUGAGAUCAUGCCACUGCACUCUAGCCUGGGUGACAGAGGAAGACUCUGUCUCAAAAAAAAAAAAAAAAAAAAAGAUACAGAACAAAGGCACAGGAAAAUACAAGGCAAUAUAAACAAAAAUCUGCAGAAACUACAAAUGAUAGAAAUAGCUCCACAAGGGAUCAGGAUAUUAGAGUUAGCUACAGAUUUUCAAAUAACUAUAUUUACUGUGCUCAAAGAGAGACUAGAUUGAUUUUAGCAGAGAGCUGGAACCAAAUAAAAUUUUAGACAUGAAAAUUAAAAUAACCAAAAUUAAGGACAAAGUGCAUGGAUUUAAUAACUAGCUAGAUGCAGCUGAAGAGAGAAUUAGUAAACUGAAAGACAUGUCACAAGAAAAUAUCCAGAAUAAACUCAAAACAAAAGGAUGGAAAAUACAGAAAAGAGGGUAAAAAAACUGUGGUAAGUUACUAGUGCUGACAAAUGACUAGAUCUGACCAAUGAGCUAUAAGUAGAAGUGUUUGUGCUAGACCCUCCUCAGCUCUUUCCCUCUGGUAUACUGACCAGCAAUAUUCAAGAUGGUGGUUGCUCUGUCAGCCUGGGUCCCUAACAGACUACAGUUAGCAGAAGCCCCCUGUUAACCCUCAAUGGACAUGUAGCAUAAGUAAAAAAUAAACUCAUUUUGUUUUAUACCAUUGAGAUUUGGAGACUGCAUGUUCCACAGCACAUCUGUAUUAGUCCAUUCUCACAUGGCUAAAAAGAACUACCUGAGACUGGGUAAUUUAUAAAGAAAAGAGGUUUAAUUGACUCAUGGUUCUGCAGGCUGUACAGGAAGUAUGGCUAGGGAUACCUCAGGAAACUUACAAUCAUGACAGAAGGCCAAGGGGAAGCAGGCACAUUUUACAUGGCUAGAGAAGGAGGAAGAGAGAGCAGGGGGAGGUGCUACAUACUUCUAAACAACCAGAUCUCAUGAGAACUCACUAUUGUGAGAAGACCAUGGGGAAAUCAGCCCCCGUGAUCCAAUCACCUCCCCCCAGGCCCCUCCUGCAACACUGAGGAUUACAAUUUGACAUGAGAUUUGGGUGGGGACAUAGAUCCAAAACAUAGCAACAUCCUAGUCUAUCCUGGUUGAUACAGAAAUGUAGAGGCUAUGGUGAGAUCUACCAUCUGUAUAUUUGGAGAGUGAGAAUAAGGGCAGAAACAGAGGUAAUGACUGAGAACUUUCCAAAACCCAAGCAUGAAGAAAAACAAGGUGGGAAGACUUGCUUUUAUCUGGUACAAGACUUGUUAUAAAGCUGCUGUAGUCAAGACAUGGGUAUUGACACAGGAUAGAUCAAUAGACCUAUGGAACAGAACAGCGAUCCCAGAACAGAGCUAUAAGUAUAUAGACACUUGACUUAGGGCACAGUUGAUGGUGUAGAGUGAGGAGGGCAGUCUUUCACAAAGACUGUGGGUGCUCUCAGGACAACUGUGCAUCCAUAUGAGAAAUAAACAAGCUUGAACAUGACCUUGCACAAGGAGGACCAAAACAACGCACAGAAGUCUAUUCUAGUGGAUGAUGGCUCUAAAUGUGAAAGAUG